AGUUCAGUGGUAGAGCAUGUGCUUAGCAUGCACUGGGUCCUGGGUUCAAUCCCCAG
rnacentral:tRNA from 1 species